GUGGGAGACGCUAUCGCAAGAUGGCGUCUUCGAGGCCGCGGGAUGCGGAGUGAGCGCGCCCCGCCGGAGGCUCUGCGAGGCUGCUCCGCUCCCCGCCGCCGCCACUGCGUCGCCGCCUCUUUGCCUGCUACUGCGCCGUGGCCCAGCCUCUCCGCCUUGCAGGUAUCGCCGCCAGCGCGCUCGCCCCGCGUAGUAGUCAGAUGGCAGCGACAAGUGCCGGCUCGUCAGGGGCUAGCGGGGCUCCUUUCGUCCGGGUGCGCCCAACAAUAACGCGUGCAUAACUUUUUCUUGCAGCGGCCCCCAGCGUCCGGGCCUGCAGAUUCUCCUACCACGCCCCUCAGCCACCCGCUCCCUCCGAGGUGUGAGCGCGUCAGGCCGAUGCGGUGAUCUCUGGCCCGCCUGGGAGGAGCGCGUGGACUAGAGGGCUGAGGCGAGCUGGCGGCGAGCGCCCUUACAAUGGCCCUGACCCUGUUUGGUAAGUGCGGUCUUCUACCUUCCCGUGCCGCCGCAGGUGGGCCGCGCCCCACAGCUGGGGGCCCCCGCGCCCGGAGAGGGGCGCGGCGCGCAGUGUCGGGCGCCGGCCGGGGCAGCGGAGUUGCGGCUCCCGGAGCGCGGGGCUGGCUCCCUCGCGCCUCUCCCAUUGUUUCCUCUCCAGGCAGGGCCGAUGGGCGUGUGCUCCCCUGGCCAAUUCUGGUCUGGGAGGCUCUGAGGUCCUGGGUAUUUUGUAAACGCACCGUACUAAGAUGCCAACUUGGGAGCGAAGUUGUCUAGUUGUUUCCAGACCUACCUGUCCCAAGUCGGUAAAUAAAGAUCCUGGAAAGUUUAUUUAUUAUGAUCAAGAUGUCUGAGCAUCCCCAACCUCCCUAGAAUUACCCAAUGCAUGUGUUGCUUCCUGUUGGAUUGUUGGGAGAUUUUUUUUUUGGAUUUGGUAUAUUACAUUGGAAAACAAUGAUUUGUGAAUUUAUUAUUGGUUAAAAUGGGAGAUGGUUGCUCUAACGAAUGAGAUCAGACAGAAGAAAGUUGGUUGCUGGUAGAUAAACUGUAGUCAAGAGAAUAUUUUUGAGUAUUCAUUAGGAAAGAAAUGUUAUUCUUGUGAUGUAAUUACUGCAACACUAUUGUUUCAGUGGCUAAGACUUCAAGGUGUUUUUUCCCUCAUAAUUUGCAGUGACAAUAGGUUGGGAAGAACUAAGAAGAUACAUUGUUUCCUUUAUAAAAACAGACUGCAUUACCUUACUUCAAGAAAACAGUAUGUGGAAAUUUAUAGACAAAGUAUUAAAUCUUGCUUCUUUGGAAAGCUUAAUGAAAUGCAGUUGUAGCUACAAGGACACAGUUAUUCACAGUAUCAAGUUUCUAGUUAGGUUUUGAUUAUGUCAUUUGACCAGGCAGAUUAGAGGUGUCACAUACCUUAAAUGCUUUUUGAUGUAAAUACUUCAAAGUGAAUUGAGCUGCUUGUAUCAGUUACUUUUAUUUUCUCUUCCGAAAAAUAAAAUCUUACUGUUGUUAUCUGAUACCUUGUAUCUAAUCUGUACUAUUUAGUAGAAGUGAUUUCCUUAAUUGUGGGCUUUUGUGUACAAAAGUUAAAAUGAUGGCUUUAUUCAUAGUUGAUAUUUUAUUUAUGAGGAGCUGUUGUAGCUAACAACUGUUGUAGAGUAAGAUUUCCAGUGAAUUUCUCUUUGAAACUAUUUCUAAUUCAUUUUUCUUCCUGAAGAGAGAUUCUGUAUUGUCAAGCUUUGUUUUCAAAAGUAAGGUUUACAAGUCAAGCACAUUUAGAAUGCUGACAUCCCUGAUGAAUGAAACAGAUAAAUUGGGGAAGAUAAUGCUCUUUUAAAAGAAAAUUUCAAGCUUUUGCCCAGGUGGAGAUGAGGAAAGAAAGCACAUGGAAUUUGACCUCUUGAAGAAAGUAUAAGAACCUGCUCCCACCCUUCUAAAUGAAUAAACCAUCUUAAAAUAACGUCCACUUAUGGAAAAUAGAAUUUCAUUUACAAAAUUUACUUGGUUACAAUGAGAACAUGUCUGUUAUGAAGCACAGUACACUUGUGAACAGAAGCUGUUAGAGCCACAGCUGUUUUUAAGUGCAGCUGUAGAUCACUCAUCAUUCAUCUGGAUGUCUGUUAUUAAAAGCUUAAAUUCCUUUGCCCAAAGACCCAAGGAAGGGCAUUUUGUUUCUCUUAUGUAUCCUCACAUUUGAGAAUCAUUGAAUUAAAGACAAAUAUUAGAGGAUUUGAUUUAACUUGCCCAACUCAAUGUUGUUAUUUUGGGGGUUUUUGUGUGUAUGUGAAGAGAAAUACACAAGGGUGAGAAGAAAUGGAUUUGAUUUUAGGUUUUACUACCUUUUAACCAGUUGGUCUUAAGUCAGAAGCACUUCAUAUUCCUUUAUAAUUAUUUUGUAUUGGGGGGGAGGGGCACUGGACCUUUAUAUUUACUUUUAAUCACCAGUGUAGAGGAGCAAUGAGAUGAUAAAAGUUCUGUGAGAUGGUGACAAGAAGCUGGAUGGAUGUGAUCUGUCAGCCAUGAAGUCACAGCUCAACAGUUUCCACCUAUGGCUCCCUGCCAGGUUAUCUUGCAUAUCUUGGUUCUAUUAAGUAGCACAGGGCAACAAUAGACUAUAGUCUAGUUCCCUGCUUUGUGUUUGACAUUUCCAUUUAGCCUUUUUAUCAGUGUAAGGAAUGGUCUUUUGUAGGAAGUUAGUGAAAGUUAACUUUGUUUUAAAAAGUGAGAGCCUCUAAAAUUUCCUAAUUCAUAUACAUUCAAUUGUUUUUACUUGAUAAGUACAAAACCUCAAAGAUUUGUUAAGUUGAAGAGUUUAGACCAUUUGUCAGCCUCACUAUUAAUUAUCUUUAUUGUUUAACACACUACUUAAACAUUUUUUUUUUUUUUUGGUUGUAAAUGGAUCUUUAUUUUACUUAUUUGUAUGUGGUGCUGAGAAUUGAACCCAGUGCCUCUCACAUGCUAGGCAAGUGUGCUACCACUGAGGCACAGCCCUAGCCCAACAUAAUAUUUUUUAGUGCAAAUUAUGUUUUAUUCUUUAAUGGGAGAACCAGUCUUGAGUCUUUCAUGAUUUUAUAGUCUUAUUUGGGUAUUGAAAAUGUGCAUCUUUGAAAGUUCAAAGAUUUGAAACCAUUUUUGUUCACCUUUCAAAUGAACUUUAUCUCUGAGUAUCAUUUUUGAUAUAAUUUUUAAAUCACUGUAUUUCAAAACAUUUCCAAAUGUAUUUCAGACUUCACUUACUCAUUUUGCUUUUCUUAUCAACAAACUUCUAUUUCCAGGAGACAUGUUCCUUGUCUAAUGCUAAAUAGUGAUGGUACUCCAUAGUUUUCCCCAGAACUAUAGCAGAUGCACCUAAUUCAGUACCUGAUUCCAUACAGUUGGUGGUGCUAACUCCCUAACUCCAUGUGGGCUUUGUUGAAACUUCCCAAGUAGGGAGCAGGGAAGUACCUGAUCCCAAGUAAUUACUGGGAUGAUAGAAAAGUCUGUGAUUGUCUAAUUUAGAUUUUUUUAGCUGAUGUACCUGACAGAGGUCCUGAAUGGCCAUACCAAUAGAACCUUAGCUGGCAGAGUUGGGUGAAUAAGCAUUUUUCCAGUCAUCCCUUGUCGAGAAUUUCUGUCAUGAAGCUGUGGUUUAUAGCCCUGACCAACUGAUGAGAUUGGGAACUGAGUAAGAUCUCCAGGCUAACUGAACCUUGAAUAAUACUCUUCUCUUUCUGAGUAGAGUUAGUUCUGGCAUUGCACACCCUACCCCUGCUUCUUCCCUUCUUAUUACUAUUUAGUCACCAUCAUUACUAUUUUGGUUCAAUUCUAAUAUUUAUGAUUUUUAAAAAUAUUUUCCUAUCUUUUCUCAGACCCUCUGCCAUAAAAGCCUUUUCAUUAUCUUUAUUUAGCAUUUAUCACUACCCUGGCACAACUACCUGUAGAUGUCCUUUAUAAAGAUCCUUUGUAGCAAUUAGAUGGCAGUGGCACAUUUUCUGCGAGAGUUAGGUAAUUUUCUGAUUUUUCAUAUAACUGUACCGAAAUUAAAAUUUAUUUUCAAAGAGACAAGUCAGCUGAACAUUUUCAGUUUGAUUUAUUUGACCAAAAGGUAAUAUUAAAGGAAACUCUCUGACUACUCUCUGCUGACAUUUUUAUUUUUUAGUCCAAAGAAUAUGAGAAGGUGGCCCAGUGGUGAGAGCCUAUCUGCCUUUCUCUGAAUGUUCUGUCUUUUCAGCUGUCAUCAAAAUCACCGUCCUGUAGGUGCACACCUAUAAUCUCAGCUACUUGGAAGGCUGAUCCAGACCAACCUCAGCAAUUUAUCCAGACCCUGUCUCAAAAUAAAAAAAAUAAAAAAAUUAAAAAGGUUUGGGUAUGUAGCUCAGUGGUAAAGUGCCCCUGGAUUCAAUCUUUAGUACCAGUAAAUAAAUAAAUUGAUUAAUUAAAAAAUCAAAAGGUGUGGGGAUUCAUCUCAGUGAUGAAGCAGCCCUAGGUUUAGUCCUCAGUACAAAAGAAAAGAAAAACAAAACCAAAAAAAACAAACAAACAAAAAAAACAAAAAAACCCCACUAUCCUUAAUUGAAUACUUGUCUGCAUUUCUUCUCUUACCAGUAUAGUCAAAAACUUAAUAUGUCAGCUUUAAUUUCUUUUAAUGUGUGGAGAUCUGGUACCAUGGAAGAGUGGUGAUGUGAUAAGGAAUAUUGGUGAUGAAGUUUUUUGAGUCAUUUCUGUCUCUGCAGAUUACUAUAGUGUAAGUAGCCUAAUAUUUGAAGAGAGAAGAUAGGGAUAUGCAUAAUUAUAAAAAUUUGAUAUUUUUAAAAACUUUCUUUUAGAUUAGUUUUAUUUGUCUUUCUUAAAAAAAAUUACCCCCAGCCUUUUAGGGUUGUUCUCCCCAUGAAAAUUUAAUACCAGAGAUAUUAUACUGUGUAUCUGCAUAUAGACUGUAUGUAUACCUGCUGUAUGCAUAAAAGGAGUAAGGUUUUUGACUUCCAGGUUUUUGACUCCAUCGUUUUACACUAAUUUAAAACAACCAUAAGAAUAUUGGGCAGAAAAUUACUGUUUGGUCAUGCUUUAUAUAACAUAAUAACAGUUCUAAAGGAAUGACAUUAGUAAAAUGUUAUACUUUCUUCUUAUCAGAUCAGUUCAACUUAUGAAUCAAUAGUUUGCUAUUAUCAGGAGAGCAGCCAUUAGUAAAGAGGACGGAGGUGUAGUUAUUUUUUCAAUAAACUGCAAUAUGUAAGCUGAAUGAACUCACUGAACAUUCUGUGCAAAUUUAACUCAAGUCCUUAAGCCUGGCCUAAUUGAUCUAUCAGCCAUAAGUCAUUCUUACAUAGAAUAUGAUUUUCAUAAGCUUCAAAACAAGACAGGAAGAAACUUAGAAGACAGGAGAGUGUGACCAUAUUUUACAUUUAGUCACGUUGAAUAAAAAAAUCAGUUCUGACGAAGUUAUAAAUUUAUAUUGCUAGUUUGGAACCUUAUUUUUAUAAAAGUGAAUGCUUUUGUGAAUAUAUUAAAAACCACUGCAUUUUACACUUUAAAAGGGUGAAUUUUGUAGUAUGUGAAUCAUGUCUCAAUUAAGCUAUAAUUAGUAGAAAACUCAUCUGAGCUUUAAAAAAGAAACAGUUUAAAGGAACAUAUUAAAAAAAGAAAGAAAGAAAAGAAUUCUAGUUUUAAAAGAAUAGCUUUAUAUCCAAGAAUCUUUUAGAGCAUUUUGGGUUUUAAGAAAGUUUUUUAAAAGAGCAAAAAACAUAAUUAAAAACCGGUAGUUAAAAAUAUUCCUACCUGUUUUCGGUUGAGAAAAGUAAGUACUUCUUGGGAAGAGUUAAUGCUGGCAAUUGAGUAAUUUGUGGGAGAAGGGAAGAUGAGUCAGGCCAGGCCUGUUGCCAGCUGCUUAGUGGCGGUGGCUUUAGGCCACCUCAUUGUUUUAAAUUCAGCUCCACUGAAAGUUGUUCCUUUCUUUUUCCACUUUUUACCUUUCAGUUUCACUGGGCUGCAUGCAUUUUAUGGUGUAAGGCAAGCUGAAAAAGGAUACAGUCCAAGAAACAUCUCUACUUGACAUCUCUACUCAUCUCUUUCAUGACCACAAAUUUGACAUUUCAUCAAGCUGCAUCGUCUUCUAGGCUCUUUAAAUGGCUAAUCCUUCCUAAUUUUCUCAUGUCCUCCAUUAGCAUAUAUCUUCAGUUCAUACUGUAUGUUCUUUUUUUUUUUUUUUUUUUUUUUUUAAUGUAGAACUUUGUCACUGUUUCCUAGCUCCUUAAUGGCUGGGAAAUUACUUUGGUAGAGAUAACUUUAAGAUUUGAGUAGCUUUUGCUAGACAGGACAGACAGACAGAUGAGUGCUGUAAAUGUCCAUUUGAGGAAUGCUUGACUGAAAUAGUUUCCCCUGCAAAACUUCCAUGGUUAAUGAGUCUUACAACAUUAAAGUUAAAGCCUGAUUUUUGGCAUGUACCCAUGAGGAAUACCAUGCUAAAUAUAGAUAGAAAUCUUCAUACAACAUGAAACAAUUUCUCUACUGAAGAUCUGAAAGAGGUAAGACAUAGGACGAGCAUUUUGAUUGAGGGAGUUAUGCUGUAAACAAAAAGAAAGUCGAAUUUUUGUUUAGAGGUGGGGCAUUACUAAGAAGGGCUUAUAGGAGGUGGUAUAAAAAGCAAAACAAUAUGAAAAAGCACAGGACAUUCUGGGUUGGGGAGGAAAUGGACGAUACUAGUAAGUGACAGAAAGGGACCCAUGUGUAGUGCUGUUUAAUAUUUUUGCUAAGGAGUAGCUCUGAAGCAUGGGAUGUGCUUUCCUGUUUUGUGAUUUAUUCACUCAUCCAUUUGAUGGAUAUUUAUUAAGUGCCUAAUAUGUGCCAUGUAUGUAUUAGUUCCUGCCUUCAAGGGAGUUAUAUUUCCAGUAGAGGGGAGAUAGAGAUUUAAAAAUUCAUAUAAUGUGACAGGUAGCAAGUGCUGUAAAGAAAAAUAAAGCAGAGUGAGAGUUAUGGGGUUUCUGUGUCUCAUAGUGGUCAGAGAAGGGAGAAGCAACAGAUGAGGACAGAGAGGCAAAUGGGGGAGAACCUCAGAGGUUCUCUAGGACUCUAUGAAUCAUGGUUAAGUUCUUUAGAUUUUGCUCUAAGGUGGGAAACUUAUGCAGGAUGAUCCUUCUAUAGAUGACAAUAUAGUGGAAAGAGCUUGGAUUUUGGAGUAAGCUACACUUAAUCCUUUCUCUGCUGAGUGUCAACUAUAUAUAUGUUCUCAUGUGUAAACAGGGCUAUUAAUUUCCUUCUGCUUGUGUAGAAGUAAAUGAGAUUGUGUAUUUAAGGUUCUUAGCACAGUGGUUGAAAACACAUAGUUAAUUUUGUCUCCAAUAUUAUUGUUACUAUAAAUAUAAACGAAGCUCCAAGAUACUUCAUUUGUUGUUUGUUGCUUUUUGCAGUGCUGGGGAUGGAACCUUGGGCCCUGAGCAUGCUGGGCAAGGCUCUACUACUGAGCCACAUUCCCAGUCCCGCUCCAUUUGUUUUUAAUAAGUCUGUUGAUCAUCUUGAAAAAGUGGUUCUGCAAUAUUUCUGAGUAGGUGCGCGACUAAAGAUCUGCCAUGUGUUAUUGCAAUAUUUUCUGAGAAUGCUCUGGUGGAGACAAGGUUCAGGCUGCUCACAGCAAAAAUCAGACUUCCAUGAUAGUGGCUAGCCACUCUGAUGCUUUUGUUGUCCCCUAAAAAUGUAAAAAAAAAAACAAAAAACCAACCAGCAGGCAAUGCUUACAUCUUCUUUGGGAGGUAAUCCAGACCAGAUGCAUGAUUUUCCUUCUUGGCACUUAAAUAUACAAAUAACUUAAGCUCAAUAUCUGACACAUAAUAGGUGUUUAUUGAGUGAAUAAAUGGAUGAACAAAGAAUAAAGACAUAACAGUGGUGUAUCAUUCUGUACUUAUAAUCUGUGAACGACCUUGAAUAAAUUAAAAUAUUUGCUUUCACUUAUUUUUUUUCCUUUAUUCCUUUAUUUUCCUUAUUCUUUAUUAUUUUAUGUUUUUCUUGAUUAGAGUCCUCAGUUGAACCCUAUUGUGGUUUAGGUAUGAGGUGCCCCCACAAAAGCUUCUGUGUGAGAAUAUAAGAGCAUUCAGAGAUGAAAUGAUUGGGUUACAGCCUUAACCUAAUUAGUGAAUUACUCCACUUGAAUGGAUUAACUGGAUGGUAACUGUAGGCAGGUGGGGUGUGACUGAGGAGGUGGGUCACUGGGGGUGUGCCUUUGGGGCUUAUAUUUUGUCCUUGUGUUGUGGAGCUCUCUCUGCUUCCGGAUUCUCAAGUCCUGAGCUGCUCUCCUCUGCCACGCCCCUAUGCCAUGGUGUUUUAUACCACCUUGUGCCCAGAGCAAUGGAGCUGGCUGUCUGUGGACUGAGACCUCUGAAACUGUGUGUGCCAAAUAAACUUUUCCUUCUCUAAAAUUGUUCUUGUCAGCUCUUGUGGUCAUGGCAGCAAAAAAACUGACUAAAAUAGGCACUUAAACCUACCUCUUGCCAGGUGUCGUGGUGCACACCUGUAAUCCCAGUGGUUGAGAAGUUGAGGCAGAAGGAUCAUAAGUUCAAAGCCAGCCUCAGCAAUUUAGUGAGGCCCUAAGUAACUAACUCAGUGAGACCUGUCUCUAAAAAGAAAAAAGGGCACCCCCUGCAUUCAAUCCCCAGUACCAAAAAAAAAACAAAAAACAAAAAAACCCACAAACAAACAAACAAACCUAACUCUUAGAAAUGGUUAAUUUAACAAUUAACUUCCCUACUUAAAAUCCACUAGUGGUCCCAUUCCAUUCCUUUAAGUCCAUAUUCCCUAGUUUGCCUGUAAGUUGUCAAGAUAUGAUCCCUUCUUACCCACCUGUCUGGCUUUAACUCUCACCAUUUCCUCCUUGAAGGCUGUUUAUUAGCCAUACUGAAUUACUUGAAGUUUCCAGAAACAGUUUGCUCAGUGUGCCUUGGGUAGCAUCAUUUCCCUAGCUCUUCUUUGCCCUCCCUUGUUUCUACACAUCUUCCAACACUAGGCAUGGAUAAUCAUCUUUUCCGAGUAGCCUUCCUUUGUGAACCCUUUUCUCCGUCCAUAGUGUCCUGUAUACAUCUCUGCCCUAGCUUCUGUCAAGUGGAGACAUAAUGGAUAGUUUAAAAUUUUCUGUUUCCUGAAUUAGGUGAAGUUUUCUUGUGAGAAACUAUGCAUUUCUUCUUUAUCCUUACCACCAAUGUCUGAUGAUACCAGUUACUCAAUAAAUAUUUGAGUGAAUGAUGAAAAUUAUGUAGUCUACUGUAGCUCUUAUAUUUGGGAGUUAAUUAUCAGGCCCAAAUCCUAUGAUAUACACCCUAUAUUUUCUUUUCAUAUUUUUUUUUUCAUUUUGUUAUUUGAUUCAAUAAUAUGCCAUUCUGUCAUCCUGUGGUUCCAUACUCCACUGUGUAUUCCUCAACUGCAAGUUCAAUGCCUUGAAUAGAAUAGAAAUCUCUCUGGGAUCAUAUUCUUUGAGGUCUAAAUAUAGUAUUCCUAACAACCUGCAGAUGUUUCUAAAUUAUUUAUCAUAAUUAUAUAACAAAUUUCACUUCAUUAAACUAUUGUUCAUUUUCAUUUUAGUAAAGAAAUUACACAUAAAUUAGGUUGGUUGGUUCAUGUUUUACCCUCACAUUAGGGAACAUAAUCAGAUUGAGUAGGAAUUUGGUAUGAAAAUGACUAACUUAACCUUUUAGAGGUCUGAAAAUUAAAAACAGGAUAAUCUUUAAUGAUAAUAAAUUUGUGUGCUACAUGGACAUUCCCACUAGUUUUCAUUUUGUUUGCCAGAAGAACAUAUAUAAACAACUGUUUAAACAUUGAUAUUUAUAAGUGGGUUCAAGAAGAGUUAUGCCUCUUGUUAUUCUUGUAGGAUACAGUGUAAAAAGAUGGAAAAUAAUUAAUGUGAGAAUUUGUUUUUCUCGGUCUUGAUAGUUUUGUCUUCUCCCCUGGAUCAUUUAUCUCUAAUUACAACUAUGCCUUGCUAUUCCAUGUGAUAAACCCUUUCCUCAACUUUUUGGUAUCACCAUAAACACCAUCUGGAAUUAUUCAUGUCUUUCCCAUUGCCAAGGUUUAUUGAAAGACCAGUCUGUAUGUCCCACCACCAUUUUCUACAAGUUUGUUUAUUCUUUAACCCUUGUCUUCCGUCUCUUUCCAACCACAGUGCCACAGACACAUAAAAUUGUUUUAUCAUAAUUACUUAUGGGUGUUUUGUGAAUGUCAUUCAUCCCUAGUGACAAGUUGACAACUGUUAAAGAGAAAAUCUUGUUAUUUGUUAAAAUAGCAAGGAAUAUUUUAUUGAAGAUGAUCAUGAUAAGUGUUAAUGCUGUUGUAAAAAGAGGGGGGAGAGAGAGAGAGAUUGAGAUUGACUACAACAUACAGUAACAAAGCAAUUUGAGGGGGUAGUAGAUGGAAUUAAGAGGAGACAUCAAAGGCUCGGAGAAUUCUUGCUAACCUCACCUAACAGUAUUCUUGUUAAGGGCAGGCCAGGGUGAUCAAAUAUCAGUGGUGGGGUAGGAAGAAUUACAUUAGAUAUCAAGCCCGGCACAGCAAUUCACACCUGUAAUCCCAGCUACUCAAGAAACUGAGGCUGGAGGCUAGCCUAAGCAACUUAGUGAGACCCUGUCUCAAAGUAGAAAAUAAAAAGGGCAGGGUGUCACUGAGUGUUAGAGCAUUCUGGGUUCCAUCCCAGAAUUGCUGCAGGAGCGUAGAGGGAGGAAGAUUAGACAUCAAGAGUGAUCAGCUAUCAGAGAUGGGGGGAUUUAGUAGGUGUGUAGCAGCUUCUUGUAAAAACUAGGCUAUGCAGGCCUGGCAAGGACCAGGGUCAAGGUUGAGGCCUGUUUGGGAAGAGGACCCAGAGGAAUCUAACUAAAGUUUGGUCAGAAGAGUAUCUUGUCAUAACUGUCACCUUAUAUUUUGCUUCUGUUCAACUGGAAGUGCUUUGUCAAUUAAUAGCCAACAUCCAGUGGUGCUUUCUUAGUUCUCAUAUUUAAUCUUUCUGCACUCUUUGUUAUUUUUGAUAGUCUCUUUUCAUCUUGAAAUUUUUUUGUUUUCCUCUUUUUUCAAGUUGUUGUGUUCUGCUGCCACCCCUUUUCUUCCCUUUCAUCAUUUCUUAGUUUCCUCUGUUUGUUGCCCUGAAUGGCUUUUCUCUUGCAAGUACAUAAGCUUCAACAGUGAGCACAGUGUGAAUGACUCCCACCUCCAUCUCCAGCCCUUCUUCAUAGGCUCCAAGUCUGUAUCUGGAUUGCAUAUGGACACUUUAGCACUAAAGCCUUACUGUUCAUUCUUCUGUCUUUUGCUUGCCUCUGAUAACUGAUCAGCUGCUAACUCUUGGAGGACUUUGCAAGACUUUCACACCUAUUUCUUUCUCUAUUUUCAACUUUAUGGCUCUGCCCUUCCUUUCUGUAUCCUCAUGCCUUUCUCCACUCCCUGCCACUUAUCAGAAAGAAUCCCUUCAUCUUCUGAGUUAUCAUUUAUAUCUGUAAUGCAUUUUAUUUGUAAUGCAUUCUAUUCAUAGUAGUUAUAUCUUGUCAUAUCUUUUCUGGGCUGAUGGCUUCUCUAAGGUAAGGUCUAUGUCUUUCACAUUUCUGUAGCCCAUUUAAUGCUUGAACUUGGCACAGUGAUUCACAUACAGUAAUGCUCAAAAAAUAUUUGUUAAGUGAAUAAAAUAGCUCUUAAAGUAUGAUACUUCUGUAGUUUGUAUCCAGAGUAAAAAUGUUAACCAUUCUUUAGAUUUUUUUAUUAUUAUUCCUUUGUAAUGCUUUAACUGAGUUAGCAAUAGUUCAUAUCUUAAAAUGUCUCAGAUAUUGUUUUUGUUGCCCAGUUAUCUUAUUUUCAGUCCUUAAGAGAAGUACAUAUAUUCUAUUACUGUGGGCUUUGUUGCUCUUGUCAGCAUAAUUUUUCCCCCAAAAGUUUGUGGUGAAAUUAUGGUAGCUUUAUACUGUUUUAUGUCUUACAAAAAACCUCUUUAGAUUUUCAAAGCAGAGAAGGGACAAUGAACAGUAUCUGUAUACACAGGGUUUGUUAAUCCAGGUCGAUGGGCUUGUUCCUUUAAUGUUGCUAAGUGUCUGGUAUUCAACUGGCUAUAAACCUCCUUCUGGAGAGACCUUGCUGAAGGUAAAAAUGAUGAAAGCUUCUGGUUUGAUAACUGUUCUCUGUUCUUUUAGAAUUUUUAGGUCAUUAACAGGAAGAUGGUGAAGGGAAACACUUUCUGUUCAAGUCUACCCUGUGUUUUUGUUUGUUCAUUUUUUUGUAAUACUGGGGCAUAAAUCUGGGAUUACAGUUGUGUGCCCCUGUACCCGUGAGAAGUAUCUGUUUAAUUCAUCUGCCCAUUUGUUAAUCUGGUUUUUUUUAAUUUUAUUUUUGGUGUUGAGUAUAUUGAGUUCUUUAUAUAUUCUAGAUAUUCUCUGUCAGGAGAGCAGCUAGCAAAGAUUUUCUCCCAUUCUGUAGGUUCUCUAUUCACAUUCUUAAUUGUUUCCUUUGCUGUGCAGAAGCUUUUUAACUUGAUGUAAUCUCAUUUAUUAACUCUGGGCAUUAUUUCCUAAGAUUUAGGGGUCCUAUUUGAGAAAGUCAUUGCCUGUGCCUAUAUGCCAGUAGUUGAUACUAUGUUUUCUUCUAGGAGUUGCAUAGUUUCUGGUCUAAUUCCUAGGUUUUUGAUCCAUUUUGAGUUGAUUUUUAAAAAGUGUUCUUAAUUUUGCUGAAUAAAAGUUACUAAGCAAGGGACCAAAGAGCUCACAUUGACUUUUUUUUUUUUCCAGGAUGUGCUGGAAUAUGUUAAAUUAUGACCUCUGAAGAAUGUAAACUCAAUGGUUUAUAGGACAUUUCACAUAUUUCUUAUAAUAUUUCAUUGAAUUGUGAAAAAAUUUUGAUGAAUUCACUUUGCUACUUCUAUAAGUUGUUUUUGGUGAUAAUUGCCUUUUUUAAUCUUAGGAUGGCAUUUUUUAGUUUUCUCAGUUUAGGGUGUUAUAAAGAUGUUCAUUAUAUAUGUGUACAGAAUAUGUAGUUAAACAUGAGAGCCAUUAAAAUAUAACUCAUGUGAUUUUUUUCUUAAUCAUAAUGUUUAUAUAACUUAAAAGUUAUAUUUCUUGAAUGAGAAAUGAUCUGAACUUGUUAGUUCAUUCUUUUAGUUGAGGUUAAAAGGAUAAAUUAUUUCAAAAGGACAACAAAAGGGAACAAGAUAGAUUAAUUGUAUAGCAAUUAAGAAAUCAGAAAAGGAGGAAACAGACAUUGCUGUACAGUAGGAAGAUUGGCAGAGCACUUUGGGGCCUGUCAUCUUGAAUUUUCUAGACAGGUGGAAGAAUUCCCUGGUGAGCCACAAGACUUUAUUUUGCCACCCCCUCCCCAUCUGCUGUUCUUGGGUCUGUCCAGACAGAGGAGCUCUUGCUCUCUUUUUUAUAGUUUUUCUCAACCAAUCUCUUUAACUCCCCCUCACCCUCUCCGUCAGACAGAAGACACCCCCUCCAGCCCCCGUGUGCGGGCCAAGUGUUCCAGCUUCAGUCAGGUGGCGGGAGGGAGCACUGAUUGUGUGUUGAUUUCCCAGGACUUAUUCCUGUCUGGUGAGACCUCAUUCAGCUCAGAUGCCUUUUGACUUCUCUCUUUUAAUCAAGUCUUUUCUCCUUUUAUCUAUUUUUCUUUAAGUAUAAUAAUUGACCUUAGGGAGAACAGAAGCAUUUGAAAAAUUUACAACUAUUUAAAAAAAUAAUUUUAACUAAUUAAAAGUUGAUAAGGAUCUCAAAAGAAAAUGUCCAACAUUUUCUGAUCUUGUAAUGAGCUGUUUUCCAUUAUCAGGGGAAGAAGGAAAAUUGAUGUAUGUUAAGUUUAUUAAUAUUAGAUAAUUUUUAAAAGAUCUGUCCCAAGGUAGUUUUCUCAUAAGUAAGGAUACAUUUGAAAUAAAUGUGAAAUUUUAUUAGGCUGUUUGCUAUGUAUAGCAGCUGUGCCAGUUGCCAUAAUUAGGUGGCAAGGUACAAGUUUUAAAAAUUGGCAUUCAUCUUUCUGAGGCAGGAGGAUUGCAAGUUUGAGGCCAGUCUUGGAAAUUCAGCAAGACCUUGUCUCAAAAUAAAAAAUAAAGAGGGCUGGUGAUGUAACUUACUGAUAAAGUGCCCCACAUUCAAUCCCCAGUAUUCCAACCCCGUCCUCCAAAUUGACAUCUUUUAAAAUUUAGGCUUUCAGUGUUAUUAAAUUGUAUUUAACAAAUAAUUCCUAGAUUGAGGGAACAAGACUUUAUAGUAGGUGAAUUUCAUCUACUGUUAUUGAAAAAUUACAGCAGUUUUUUAAUAAUUACUAUUAAGGAGUAUUUUUCAAACUUAGGAUUUUAAGGCAGACUUAGAAAUAACAAUGUAAACUGAAAUGAAUGAUAUCUAUUUUAAACCCUCUCAUUCUGCAUUUCAAAUCUAUGUCUCUAAUUUUUGAUAGCCUGGAAUGUUUUCUUAAUUACAAAAUUAUGCUUUUUUAACGUUGUAAACUUGGAUGAACUGGCAUAUUUAUAUUAUAUCACUUUUAUACUAUUUCUUUUCUAAAAAUCGCAAGUCAAUGAUGACUUUUAAUAGGCUUCCCAUAUGAUUCACAGUUCCUGAAAAGGCUGCUACAGGAUAAUCUAUCAUAUUGUUGCAAGGCAAUUAGAUAUAUUUGUUACUAUAUCACAAAUAAUCAAUUAAAAAGCACUAAGAAAAAAAUCAUUAAUGACACUUGCAAAAUGGUAUGCUAUAUGCUGAUUUUAUUAAAAUGUGGCAGGUUGUGGACACUUAAAAGUGCUAUCAUAUCUUAGACCAACUUAAACUUAGUCAAAAUAUUGUUCUUCCCCCAUUUCUUCCCAAGUUUUUAGUCUUUUUUCCCCUCUUUCCUCCCAUAAAAAAAAAUUCAAACAAUUACACAGAUCUCAGUUCUUCCAGUCUGAGGCAGGAAAAGCAAGAAAACUCUCUCAAAGUUUUUCAUUUCAAAACACAAAUUUGAAAAAAAAGUGAAUACUUUAUAAACCUCCCGGCAUUGCUGCAUCAUCAGUCAAUAGUGGAAUUGGGAUUAAGCACUAUUUAAAGAGAAAACUGGGGAAGCCAGGUGUAAUGAUGCCUGCCUAUAAUCCCAGUGAUUAUGGCAGGAGGAUUGCAAGUUUGAGGCCAGUUUCAGCAGUUUAGCAUGCCUCUAAGCAAGUUAGUGAGACCCCAUCUCAAAAUAAAAAGACUGGAAUGUGACUCAGUGGUACAGCCCCUGUGGGGUCCAUCCCUAGUAACACUCAAGGAAGGGAGGGAGGGAGGGAAGGAAAGGACCCCCAAGCACUUAUAAUGUCUUAUGAUAUAAUCUUGGAUGCUAUUGUGUGGAUUCCCUUUUCAUCCCCAAAGAAGAGUCUCUGGGAAAAGAGCCCUGAAGAACAAAUUAGUGGAGUAAGAAAAACAUAAGUUGGGGCCAUAAGUCGGAUGUUUACAGUGAGCAGAUAGGUAACAUAGACAAUAGGGAAUGUUCAGGAAUUUCCUGAAGUUAAAUGUUGGUAAUUUGGACCUAGAAAAGCACUGGGUGGGCCAAAGAAAACACAUAUCUUUGGGCUGGCAGUGAGGCAACUACAGGAACCUAGUUGGUAGAGUUAUUCUCCUAUUGUGUACUCAACUGAUCUGCUAUUCAUCUUUGUCAGGGAGGACAGAUUAUUCUAAAGAUUAAGCAUGAGUUGGACAGAAUAGGAGAAAGGUGGGGAAGCCAGUUGAGUUGUAGAUUCUAUAAUUGGGAUACAGUGAGGGUCUGGAGAAGAUAGCUGACGAUCCAUGAUAUUCUUGCCCUUUUCCCUAUGCCCAGUUGUACCUUUUGUGUAGGGAAACAUUCCCAUUAUUCAAAGAGAUACUGCAUUUUUCACCUACUCAUUUGGUACCACUUUUUAUGAUCCAGUUUUACUCACCCUGGUAAACUCUCAUUAUUCCUGACACAUUAGUACCCUAGCCUGUGAAAAUUUUGGAGAGUUUUUUUUGUUCCUGCUCAGUUUAGACUAUCAUCAUGGUAAAUAACAGUCACAUCUCCCUUUCUUUCAUUCUGGAUAAAAUAAAUUUAUCAGUAACCAAGUCUAGGAAGACAGAACAUCAAUAUGAGACUGCUACCGUCUAAAUAUUUAGUCUUUAUAAAACCAUCAACAAUUGUCUGAUUCCGCAGCCUAUAAAAUAGGAUAAAAGCAGUUCUCCUUACCUCUAUAAAACAGUGUUAUAAAGUAGGGGCAAUAAAUAUAAUUUGAGUUUCUAAGUAAAUGGCAAUGCUGUGUAAAUUUUGAAUGUUAAUAUUCCCUUUUUAGUAUUAUAUGAAAUAAUAAAACCAUAUCAUUUAUAAAGUUCAAGGAGAUCAUAUGUACCUUGUGACUCUCAGGAUACUUUGUGUUCUUUUGUUUUUCUGUCUUGAUGUACUAUAUACCUUAACUUUUAACUCUGUAAACUUUUGCUUAGUAGACAGGCACACCCAGGGAAUCUAUGGUAUCUAUUCAUUAAUUCCAUUGUAUCUUAUAAUUCUUGAACUUUUUGGGUUUGGUUUUCAUGGAAAACAAAAUGUCCAUUUUUUUUUUUUUUUUUUUGCAUGGCAUGUUGUUCUAUAGCUUUGUUGCUAUACUCUAAAAUUAGAAUUAUUCUAACUUCUUUACUAAUUAGAUACUUUUAAAAAUUCCUUUGGCUAUCAGAGUCUCAAGCUUCAUUGCAUAAUCUCCUCCUCUACCCUAACCCCUGAGGAUAAUGUACAGAUCAAAUGUGUUGGUUUGACUAUAAAUAUUUCAAUUUAUUUAAAAGGAUCUUACUCAAAUCCACAAAUAUAGUUCAUUACAGUCAUUGAUAUGUUACUAUAAUUUUAAUCAAAAGUUUAGUUUUCUUUGGACCCUAGAAAAUUGACACUUUUUGAUUUAAUUGCAGUAACAUUUUGAUUAUUGAGACUAUUGUAGUGAACAUUUCUAAUGAUUUGCUUCUGGAACUGUACUGAAUAGAGUGAAAAGAGUUUCCAGGAAGCCCACAAGAUGGCACUUGCCAUCUUGUUUCCUCUGUUUUUUUUUUUCCCCGUGCUUAAGGAAAUUCAGCAAAAUUUAAAAUAUAUAUAAAACGCUAAGGUUUAGAUUUUUAGAAUCUUGAGUCAGAACUCCUUAAAAUUGAUGAGCUUCAGUUUGACAUUGUGAAAAGUAUAUAUUUCUAGAAUAGGAACUACAGUCUUUUGUUGAUGAUCUUAAGGUUAUUUCAAAAGUUCAUUGGAAUCCAUAUAAUGUAAAAGACUGCCUCUCUGUGCUCUCUUUACCUUUUAGAUGCUUUUUAAAGAAAUACAUAACUUUUGAGAAAUGUAAUCUAUAUGCAGCUAGUUUCUAGACUUCUUAAAAUAUUGACAUUUACAAGAACACUGGCCAUUAGUAAUUGUUCUAAAGUAUUUGUGUUGUUUUUCUGUUUAAAGCAAGGAAUAUCAUUUGGAAUUUCUAAUUUUGAUCAUUAGGAUUAUAUGAUUCCAAUUAUGAAUGACAUUUACUGAAUAAUGUAGGACAAUACAAAUCUACCAAACAUAAAUAAUGAAUUACAUUAACUUCCUUUUUACCCCUGUAUAUUUAACAUUUAAUUAAUACUGAUUUACGUGAUUUCUGUUUACAUUAACAGUUUAGUUAGGGAAGGGAAGGGUUCUGAGAUUGUCUUGAGAUUGGUAGGAAAGUUUUAUGUUGUUUAUUGCUUUGUGAAAUUCUAUCCAUAUUUGUGUGUGUGUGUGUGUUUGUGUGUGUGUGUGUGUGACUCCCCAGUACCUGGGACCUCGAACUUGGUAGAUGAGCACUCUGCCACUGAGCUAUAUGCCAACCUCUCCCCACCCCUUUUAAAAAAAUUUUGAAACAGGGUCUCCCUAAAUUGUCCAGGCUAUCUUUAGACUUUAAAUUCUCCUGCCUCGUCGUUUGAGUAGGUGAGAUUACAGGUGUGUGCCACCAUACCCAUCUCCUAUCAGUAAUUUGAAUGAGGGAGCUACAUGAUCAUGGAAGACCAAGAACAGAAAAGUAUUAUCUAGUACAUUUCAGGAUUACAGCAGUGCUAAUCUGUAUCAUUCUGAUUUUUCUCAUUCUAUCAUAAAAGUGGUCAAGCUGUAGAAGCAAAGGCAUGUUAUGAAAUAAGAGCAAUAAUAGAAACUUGCUGUUGAAAACUUGAGUCAGACUUGCAAAAAUCUAAAGCUUAUAACCAAAUAUUUUAGAGUUGUGAAAGUACUCAUUUUUCAACAUCUUUUGAAGGUUUGUGAAAAAAUAAUUCAUUGUAUAUGAAUAAAGAGUUCUUAAAGCUUUCCUUUUUAAAACAAUUGUUAUAUGUAUUGCUGCUGUGCUUGCAUAAUGAAUGUGUUCUGUGGGCAGGCUGUACACGGAAACUAUUCCUUUGUUAGCUUGCCAUUUGCUAUAUCAAGGCUUUAGUGUUCAGUUUCAGGUUGCUGUCACUUACAUCAUAUCUUUUUGCACUGGAUCUCUUUUUAAAAGCCUGUAAAACAUAAUCUCUUUUAAGUUAAAAAGUUUUCAUUGAGUUUACAUAAACAUUGAACUUAAAUUAAUUUCUGAACUGAAACUUCAGAAACACUGGUCAGAGAAAUGUAAUACAAGAGCACAUGGAGGGGAUAUUUGCAUAGCACUUAGGGCUGAUUCAUGCUCCAGCAUCUUUGAGUACUAAGAUCUUAAGCCGUUAUUUUUAAAAUGCUUUGAUUUCUUUUUCCAUUCAUUAAAUGAAGAUUGUGCUUUUAUUGUGCCCAUUUCCAGUUAUUUUCUAAUAGCUAAAUUCUAAGGAAAUUCUAAAACAAACAAACAAAAAAGAAAAACAAAACAUUUUUGUAUCAAACAAUAGAAAUCCUUGUCUUUUUCCCCUCUUUAUAGUCCACAUUUUAAAAAAUAAUUAUUUUAUUUAUUUAUUUUUUAUAUAGGGAUCAAAUCCAGUUCCUCUCACAUGGUAGGCAAGCACUCUGCUAUUGAGUUACAGCCCAGCCCUUAUAAUCCACAUUUGAAACCAAAUGAAAAUUAAAUAACUCAAGUAGGAUCUGUUCUUCCUGGGGCAUUUGCAAUAUCUCUUCUGAAAAUAUACAUGUACAUGAUUAUCAAGGAAAGGGUUUGUUUUUUUUUUUAAUCUGGAAAACUGGCAGACUUGUUUUUUCUGAAUGCAUUGGUUUUAAAAUUUGAAUCUAAACUCAGAUACAUUUUGUUCGUUUAUUCCUAUCUCCUAUCAUUAUCUUAAAAUUAUCUGUGGGACCUCUUUGAGUAUUUUGGGGAUGCAGCAAGCACUAUUUGAGAUAAUUUUCACAUCCUCCUCCUCAUAAGUGGUCCAGUAUAACUACUGGUGUUGUACUAAGAACAGUGAAAUUGUAAAUAAUCAUAUUAAUUUAUUCCCCAAUGAUUUAUAAAGAAUUUCUUGCAGAAAAAUAACAUGUAAGUGUAUUUUAGUAAAGCAUACAAAUACAUUUAAAAAUAAGUAAAACACAGAAAUAAGUUCAAAGCAUUACUUCCAAAUGAAACACCUGUGUAAGUACAACUCAAGAAAUACGUUACCAGAAUCCUAGAUAAUCCCUCUUGAAACCUCUCCCAAUCACUGCCCCUUCUUGCCCUCCCAAAGUCCAUCCCUACCCUGAUAUCUGACACUAGAUAAGUUUUCUGUGUGUAUGUUUAAAAAAUCUUUUCUUUCCCCUCUUUGGCGGUGGUAGUUGAAUGGGUUAUUUGUUUUAUUUUGUUUGUGGUACUGGGGAUUGACCACAAGAUAAGGCCUUGCUCAUACUCAUACUUGCUUAUAAGCAAGCAUACUACCAUGGAGCAAUAUCUCCAGCCCAUGAAAUGUUUUUUAACACUAGAGUCUUUAUGAGAAUCCAAUUUAAUUUAGUAAAAUGCUUCUGAAUUUUAUUAGGAGAGAAUGCUGUAUAGGUAAGGGAACAUUGUAUUUUAAAAUAUAUUUUGAAUUUCAAAUUUUAAAAUGGAUGCAAUAUUUCUAGCAAUGUAACUCUAUUUUAAGCAGCCGAAAUACGUCAAUAACAGGCGAAGGUACUUGCUGUUGCCUACAGAAAAAGUGACCUACAGCAACCUGAUGUUACAUUUGUUUUCAUUACUUACCACCAAAAGCUAAGGAUAAUAAAUAGAUAGGGUUAAAGAUUAAAAAUAGGGUUAAAGAUUACUGGAAGACAUUUCACAUUCACAAACUGAUAUAACCAUAAGUGUGGAAUUUCAUUGAACUAAAUGCUAUAUGUUAAAAACAGUGCAAAUUUGAUAUUCUACUCCAUAAUUCACCUAUUUUUAGUGUAAUGUUAUUUUAUAGCAUCAGGAAAUAUUAAAUAUUGCUUUCCUAAGUUGAUGGACAAAAUGUUGAUGAAUCGAGUGUCAUGAAAAACUGCAUUAACAAAUAUUUAGACUCAUAUCUGUAACACAAAUAGGAGGAGGUUUUUUUUUUGUUGUUGUUAGAUAUGUUCAGGCAGUCAUCAGGAAGAUACUGAAUAGUUUGGACAUGCUUCACUUAGUAGGAGUUUUAAUAGGUAUGUCAUCUGCUGAGAAGUUAAAUUGCUUUGUCCAAGAAGACUGAAAGUUGCUUAUUCACAAGUUAGCAUCUUUUACUGUCUCAAAAAAUAUUGGUUAAAGGAAUGUUUUCAGUGACAAAAGUCAUUGGUUCUGAUAGUGAUACACUGGCUUCUUGGGUACUCAAUGGCUUUGGUGCUGACAACCUUGCCAUAAUUUUAUCUACCUUCUUUUUAGCCCUAGCCCAUGACUUUUUAACUUUAUCUCAUAUCUCUUGGUUUAUUAUCAAGCACUUGCAAAAUUACAUGUCUGCAUAUAUUAAUAUACCAAGACCUAAUUAUAAAUAUACAAAAAUAUAAUUAGGAUAUAUUUAUUGAAGUGUAAGAGACAGGUUAGAUAACAAUCCAUUUCUUUAUUAGAUCUUUGUGCACAUUGCUAGUUACCAUUUGAUGAUGACAACUGUCUCUAAUUUGGUUUCUUCCUUCUGCCAGUUGUGGGUUAGACUGUAUCUAUAGAACAAAAUGUGGCCAAAUUUUACAUUUAAGAUAAUCUUCAGACUGACCUUUAUGGAAGUUUUAAAGAAUUGUUAAAUUAGCAAAUUAGCUUGAGCUUCUUUCUUUAUUCUUCCUAGGUGAUACAUAUUUUCUGUUUACUUGCAAAAUAUCUUUGGGGUUUUUCCUUUAAAAUUACAUGAUUACAAAUCACUGGGAGAGUGAUAAAUUCAUCCCAGUUUCUAUUCAGGUAUUUCUUAUAUAUAAAAUAUCAAGAUUAGAUUCAUUUGUAAGCUCAAAACAAUUUGCCCAUUUAAAAACUUGUAUAUUAUGCUUUUUUAGCUGACUACUGCUAAUUAUUACUGACUUAUUAGUUAUGGUCAAAUCAUAACUAAUCAAUAUUAGGAAACAAGGCAUACUUUCUUUUUUUUAAUGAUUUGUACUUUUAGUUGUAAAGCUUAAUUCUUCAAGCUUUGUUUUUAAACAAUGAUGUAUAUUCCAAUUUGAAAAGUUUUUAAAUCAUAAUUUUAAAAAGGCAGAAAAGAUAAUAAAAUUUCACAUGUAAAAAUAGGAUUCUGAGCAUUUUUGUGUUAUGGGGAACUUAUAGUGGCAGAGAAGUAGAACUAACAUAGUGUUUAGAAACCAAAUACUUGAUCAAAUGAAGUUAUAGCAGGAAAUUGAACUGAUAAAUGUUGAGUUUGUGGUUUUUGGCUUUCAAGUAAAGAAGCAAACAAAAGUGAAUACUGGUUCCUAGAGUGAAAACCUUUUUCUUUGCAAACCUUGCUGUUGGGUUCUUCUUCUCUUGAUGACUGGAGAGUACAGAGGUUGUAUUGGUUAGUAUUGCUAGCUUCUAUUUUUUCUCAGAGCAUUAGCUUUUAUGGUUCAGUUAGAGUUAACAAGAAUAAUAUUGUAAUAAUAUAAACACACCAACAGUUUCAUUUGUUGUUGUACAAAACUGUUUCUACUCUUAGGGCUUUUAUAGUCUCCAUUUCCCCUACAGAAAAGCAAGAGUCAGAUAGUGAGUACAAAAAUUUCAAAAAUUUAAAUCAUAUCAUAAAAUUACACAGUGUACCAUGUUAAUCCUGUGUACAUUCUAAAUAGUGCUUUGUAGUCUUUGAUUAUAGGUGAUCAGAAUCUGCCAAUAGACAGAUUUCCUACUACAGAAAAAUGAAUGGAGGACUGAAAUUCUGGUUAGACUCAUAUUAAUAAGUUGAUCUUUCAUUCUUUUAAAAUAAAUACUUAGUAUAUAAUCCAGAACACUUUCUACUGUUCACGAAUAUCUUAUAAAAGAAAAUGAUUAUUCUGUGUAAAAGUUUUGAGUACAUGCAUGAGGCCCUGGGUUCAGUCCCAGCACCAGCAGGAAAGAAAGAAAACAAAUAAGCAAAACCUAAGUUAUUAUGGUUUAUAAUGAUUAUACUUCCUAUUUUCCUAUUUUUAAUUUUCUUCCUAAGGUACUUUCUCUUUCAUUGUUAUUCUACUGAUUCAUAUGUACAAUAUGUUGAGUAUUCAUCAAAUUUAGUAAAUGGAAAAGCCUACACUUAAGCCUAUACUUUACAUUAGCUGUCUUUCCGGUAUGCAUUAGCAAAUCUAUUCUAGCAUCUCUUACACUGUAUUGUAAUUUUUUAAAUGUCUUUCUUGAACCCUAAACUGUGGAAUUCUCAAAUUCAGGGAUUAUGACAUAUGUCAUAAUAUAUAAAUAUAAAUAAAUAUAUAUAUAUAUUUUUUAUAAAUAAUUUAGCCCUACGUCUCAUUCAUAGUUUGGUACUUACUGUAUGUUGAUAGGUAAAUGAAUUAGUAAAUGAUUGAGAUCUUAUCUCAUUGAUGAUGAUCCAGAGAUUUUUUUUUUUCCUAUUGAUAAAGUAGAAUUUAAUGAAGAGGUUUUGAUAUUGGAAACUUUUUUUUUCUUUCUUUUGGAUAUGGGGUCUCACUUUGUUGCCCAGCUGGUCUGCAGUAUUUGGAUUCAAGCAAUUGCCUUCUCAGUAAUUGGGAUUAUAGCAUGAACCUCUAUUCCUGGCUACAUCUGGAAUCUUGGUUUCAUUUUGACAAUGCAUGUGCAAAAAAAGAACCAUAAAUAAUAAUAAGCUAAAAUCUGUUUUCUAUAAGAUAUACGUACAGUAUUUGAAACUUGUAAUCGAUAUUUACAAAAUGGAUAUGUCCCAAGUUCAUACAUGACAGUGCGUAUUUGGGGUAUAUAUCUUAAAAACAUAAGACUAUGGAAUAAAAUUUUGACUCAUGUUUAAUUUUUAUUAGAAUUUCUAAUACGUUUUUACUAUCCUUUUAUUUUUUGUUUGUUUGUUUUAGAGAUGAGUUUUGCUAUAUUGCCCAGUUUGGCUCUGAAUGCAUGAUCCCUCCAGACUCAACCUCCACAGUAUCUGGGAUUUCAGGCAUGCACCACCAUCACACCCAACUUACCCUUUUAUAUCUGUAAAUUAUCCAUAAAAGGAAUUAAAAUUUAUAUAAAAAUUAAAAGGAUUCACAGCCCUGGAUAGUAAUGGUGAUGACUUUUCCCCCUAGCAUACAGAGGGUUAAUGUUAUGGGUAUGAUAAUGUUUUGUGGUUAUUAGGAGAAUGUUCUUACUUUUAGCAGAUCCACACUGAACCAUUUCUAGGUGAAGUGCUGCAUGCCUGCAACUUACUUGAAAUGGUUGUGGCUGGUAACAGAAGAGGGAGGAGACAAUAAUGAUUGGAUAAAAUGUUAACAAUUAAUGAAUGUGGAUGGAAAACAUACUGCUAUUAUAAUCUUUUCAAGUGUUUUUGUUGUUAGAUAUUUUCAAAAUAAAAAAUUUUGGAAAAAAAUACAAAAAUGAACAUUGGCUUUGAAACAGGUGAACAGAACCCUUCCCUGUUCCUUUUAAUGAAAACACUGUAUCUAUUGAUUAUAGUUUAGCCUGCUUCUGGCUAUGUUAGCUUUUUGACUGCUGACCACUAGAGGAAUACAAUGGUGACAUUAAUAAUAUAUAUGUUUCCCACCAGUGGUUUUCUUAGAACUUCUGAUACCUUUAGAAAAUACUUCAUUUAGCUUAAAAUGCAUGCAUUAUUUUCCUCAUUAGGCAGGAUUGCUAGAAUGGAUAACCCAAACCGGUGAUCCAGCUUGUGCCAGUGUGCUCUGUGUUGUUCUCAUUUUUUAUGGCCUAUUCCUAUAGAAAGUCAAGGGAAUUUUCUUUAAAAUUACAGGUACAUUUGCUGGGUGUGGUGGUACACACCUGUAGUCCCAGCAACUUGGGACUACAGGUGUGUAUGUAUUGCAAUUCUCCUGCCUCAGCAGUUCAAAGCCAGUCUCAGCGAUUAAAUCAGGCUCUAAGCAACUCAGCCAGACCGUGUCUCUAAUAAAAUAUUAAAAAGUGCUGGUAGUUAAGCACCCCUGGGCUCAAUAUUUGGUACCAAAAAAAAAAAAAUUACAGGUAUGUAUGUAUUGAGAACUCUGAACUUUAUAUAUAUAUGUAUAUAUGUUCAUAUGUACAUACGUAUAUAUGUACUGAAAAUUCUGAAAUUUUUAGAAAACCUGAGUUUUCUGAGAAGUGAUAUCUUUUUGCUAUUAUUAUUAUUUUUUUAAGUUUUUUGGUGGACACAACAUCUUUAUUUUAUUUUUAGUGGUGCUGAGGAUCGAACCCAGCACCCCGCGCAUGCCAGGCAACCACGCUACCGCUUGAGCCACAUCCCCAGUCCUCUUUUUACUAUUAUUAUUUAUUUCAUAUAUGUGUACAUAUAUGAAAUAAAUAAUAAUACAUAUAUGAAAGAAACCCAUCUCUAUUGUAAUGCAAAAAUAAAUAAAUAAAUAUUUUUUAAAAAUAUGAGGGCUGGGGAUGUGGCUUAAGCGGUAGUGCCCUCGCCUGGCAUGCACGGGGUGCUGGGUUCGAUCCUCAGCACCACUAAAAAUAAAAUAAAGAUGUUGUGUCCACUGAAAACUAAAAAAUAAAUAUUAAAAAAAUUUUAAAAAUUCUCUCUUUAAAAAAAUGAAUAAAAUUAUUACACCUUUAAUUUUGAAAUUUUAUUGCUAGAAAUCAUUUAUUAUUAACUUAUUAAUAUUAACUUUUAAAAUUAUAUGUACUUUAAAAAUUUAUGAGAAACAAUUUGAUCUAAUCAUUAGUUAUAAACUGUACAACUUAAUUUAUUUUUGUUAUAUUAAUUUAAAGGUCUUAUCAAUGAUAAAUAAUUCUCUCUUCCAGACUGAUAAAGGCACAUGAAAAUGUUUUUUCUAUUGCUGUCAUUUCUUGUACUUGAUGAUUUGAAUCAGAUAACUCUUUUUUCAUUUUUCAAUGACAAUGACCUUUUGUUUUCCAGUCCCUAGUAUUCAGCAUCCUGGAAAGCAUUCUAACAAUGUUAGUGCAGUAAAGCAUGCGGACAGUACUUUAAACAAAAUGCUUUGUUCACAGCCGUAUGACAUAAAUCAUUUCAGUCUGCUUUUUUGAAUAACAAAUAAUAUUGCUUAUUAAAAGCUUCUAGCUCAGCUUGGAGUUGAACAAAAGAAGACUGUAGAUAUUUAAGAAUAAACUGAUGACCCACCUUUUCAUUUUGGUAAAUCUGUUGGACUACAACAUUUCACAUGUGAAGUAUCUUUGGUUUGGUACAGUAUUCUAAGUCCCAAAGUAGAAAUGGGGGAUGCGGGGGCCGGGGGGAGAAGUGAUAUCUUUUUACUAUUAUUAUUAUUUUUGGUACUGGGGAUUGAAUUCAGGGGCACUUGACCACUGAGCCACAUCCCCCAGCCCUAUUUUGUAUUUUAUUUAGAGACAGGAUCUCACUGAGUUGCUUAGCAGCUCUCUUUUGCUUGAGGUUGGCUUUGAACUUACGAUCCUCUGCCUCAGCCUCCUGAGCCACUGGAUUACAGGCAUGCACCACUGUGCCCAUCAUGAUAUCUUUUAAAUAAGGACAUUUUUGAAAAGUUCUUUAACAUAUGAUGUCUUGAGAGUCUUCUAGGUUUUCUGUUUAGGAUUGUUACUAAUUCCUAUUAGCUUGUAGGAGUUUAUUGAGUUUUAAGAGACUCCUUGUACUACUUUAACUUCUUCAUAUGGCUUUAACUAGUACCUUUUUCUCCACUGUGUCCUUGCUUGGUGCUAUAUUUAUCUAUCUAUCUAUCUAUCUAUCUAUAUAUAUAUACAUAGAUUGUAUUUAUAAAAAUACAUAUGUGUGUGUAUAUAUAUAUUAUACAUAUAUGUAUAUAUAUUAUACAUAUGUGUAUUUAUAUAUUUUACAUAUGUGUGUGUGUGUGUGUAUGGAUAUGUUCACGUCCACUUUUGUUAUUUGCUUUGUUCACCAUUCAUCCUACAUAAAAUGCCCAGUAGCUUAGGAAAUAUUCAUUUCAGAAUGACAGAAAGAAAUGUUACUCUGUAAUAGUUUAGAUUAUGGCAUCACAAAUAUUCUAGAGUGGAAGUUAAUGUCAGGUACCUCAAGAAUCAAGUUACAAAAUUUGGAGAGGUGGUAAUAACAAUUAAUAUUCAUUUGUCCAAUUGAUAUGCCCAAGGUCAGACUCAUAGUAAGUGCUAAUGGAGAAGAUUUUUCUAUCCUUAAAGCCCACACUUUUAACCAUUGCCUUGCAGACUAGCAGCAGGGAGGCAGCUCCUAGUCAUCAGUCCUGACACUCACAUGGGCCUGGUAGAAAAUAUGUCUCUUGACCUUGUGAGCCACUUCCCAGGAAUCCUUUAUCUUUACUUCCUUCCCUCCCUGCCACCUCCCCCAACUUUGUCUUUUGCUUGUUUUCUUUCUUAGAAAUAUCCCAGAACUUUCUUUCAGCCUUUAGUUUCCCUGAUCUUCAUGUGUAUUUUGUCAGCUUUUGUUCCAGGUUUCUGCCCUUCCUAAGAACAAUGUGUUUUGGGACUAGACUUCUAACAGUCUGAGUGGGUUCACCAAAAUCAGGCAGGAAGACCAAAGUGCUCUGUGGAAUCUGAAAUACUUAAUUAUUUUGUUUCUUAGGCAUGUUUUCUGUUUUAUGAUCUAGCAAAAUCUUGAGUCACUAUAGUUCUGUGUACCAUAUGUUGAAGUAUAUAGGCUAUGAUAGGAAGUAGGCAUGAAGAUUGGACAGCAGCCCACUCAAAUGUGGAAAAUACCAGUAGGCAUAAUCCUUGUGUCAAGCAUUUUCUUUCUAAUCUUAAACCCUUGUGUGAAUGGACUUGUGGUUGAGCAACUGAAGGGUACAAGGCAAAAAUAGUGUUAGGAUAAUCCUGGAUUAUUAGCAAAUCUGUGAAAACUUCUCUCAUAAUUUUCUUUUAAUAUUCAUUGAUAUUAAAUGAUGAUAGAGCACUAGAAAAAAGAAAUACAAGUGAUCAUUUAUCAUCUUUUGUAUAUUAGGAACUUUUUAGGGUCUCCCUCACAUAAAAUUUUGCAAAUAUGCUUCUGAGGGUUUUUUUUGCAUUAUUACAGAUUUUAUGCAAACUAAGAGGUUAUAUUUUCUAUUUCUAGUCCUCCAAAUGCAUGAUUGAGAAUUUUAACUGUUCCUCUGCUGGCUUAAUUUACUUCCUUGCCAGAUAACCCUUGGCCUCAUCACUGGACACAGUAUAUAUAGGCAAACACUCUAACAACCUGACUUUAUGGCUUCUAUCCCUCCUUCCUAGUAGAGUGAGAACAGUCCCAAGAUCUUCACUUGACUUUUUUGUCCCAAUUUCCAUUUUUUGAAAGCUGCAUCACAAAAUCCUUGACUACUCCUCCGCCACCCACUUUACCUUUUUUUUCCCUCCCCAUGUUAGAUCACUAAUUUUUUAAUCCUCUCCAACAAAAGUGAUUCACAGUUUAAAUAUUACAGGAAGUCAGAAUUUCUAGAUUGUGAAAAGUAUAUCUGCAUAUUCCAGCAGGAAUUUUUAGCUUAGGAGAAUUUGAAGUUGGAAAGGGAAAGAUGUUCUUUGCCUCAUAGGACUUUUUCAUAAAAUGCAGAUAAGUGCCCUUCUUCAAUUUGAUAGAUUUUAAUGAAGUAACCAUUCUUUUUUAAGCAUGGGAACCAGAGAACAUCCUAAACAUUUCACUGAAGGUUACACUCAAACUUCUGAGGCACAGGGAAACCAAUAGCAAGGUUACUCUAACAGUAUCAGGAAUGAACCUAACCACAGCUUGCCUCCACUGUCCUUGGAAGCUGUUCUUGAAGCUAGAUGCCUCAGGGUUAUUUGUAUCCUCCAUAUUUAGCCUUGUAAUAGACCUUUGUGGACUGCACUUGAAACAUUUCCUCAUACAUUAGCUCUGCCUGUGAGGAGUUGUCCUGGCCUUUCUUUUGCUCAUGUGAACUUAGAUUGUCUCCCUUCAGUCCCUUGAGUCAUUUGUCUUUGUGUUUUGUCUCUUCCUCAUUGCCUUAAAAUUUUUAGAGGUAGUCACUGGACUCUGCAAUUUUCCUUUUUUCUAACCUAUAAAUCCUUUAUUAGAGUAUCAGUGGAGGUUAUGAGCAUGAGAUCUGGAGCUACAUGGUCUCAGUUAAGUUCUGCCUAUGCUGCAGGGCACUUUAAAGUGUUUUGUGCUGUGACCUCAAGUACUGUUUUCCUCAUCUCUAAAAUGUAGUAGUAGUAAUAUCUAAUUCAUAGGGUUGUUUGAGCAUAAAGGAAAAAAUAAAAAUAAAAGCAUUUAACAAAAGCCUUAUUAUGUGUUCAAUUCAACAAAAUUUACUACUGUGUACUAUUAUUGUUUUAGGCUAAUGGUUCUCAAAUUUUUUAACUCAGGACUAAUUUAUGCUCUUAAACAUUAUUGAGAACACUAUAGAACUUUUUGCUUAUGGGGGUUAUAUGAAUUGCAAUUCACUAUAUUUAAAAUUAGAGUUGAGAAAAAAAUUAAGUUACCAAUUAAAAAUAAUAAAAAUCCAUUACAUGUUGGCAUAAAUAACAUUUUAUGAAGGGUAACUAUUCUAUAAAGUAGGAAGAAAAGUGGUACUCUUUUAUAUUUUUACAAAUUCCUUAAUGUCUGACUUAAGGAGUUCUCAUAACUGCAGCCAUCUUUUGCAAUAUAUUUUGAUUGGUAUAUAAAGAAAAUCUGGCCGUAUGCAGAUAUGUAUUUGGAAAAGAGGGAAGUAUUUUAAAUGCAAAUAAUUGCAGUUGUUGUUCUCUGAUAUUACACUAAAACUUGACAAAUGGUAGUUCCUAAAAGGUCAUUUGCAAUGCAGACCCUGAAAUUAAAUCGGUAAACACUUUGUUACCUUAAAGUCUGUUGGUCCAUCUUGUAUUUGACUGGAUCUUUUACCAUAUAUGAUGCUGUCAUGCAUUUGUUAUUUCAAAAAAGAUUAUUUCAUUGAAUUUUGCAAAUCUUCUAAUGUUAACACAUUUCAUUAUGCAAUUUAUUUAAAAAUCAUAUUCUUUAAUACCACCAUGGAUCUCAUGGAAAAAUCUUUGAAUAUUAACGAUCUUGUCAAGUUUUUGAUGGUGGAUAAAAGUUUCCCCAGACUCUAAUUUUCACUUAAAAACUUGAAUUUUAUGACUGGCAAUAAAUACUGUCAGUUAUUUUCAUUGAAGUGACAAGCUCACUUUGUUCAUUUUUGAGAAAAUAUCUAUCAAAUACCCACGUCUGAUUAGUCAUAGUUUGUCAGUCAUUCUUUCAAGUGAAAUGGUGUUUAUGAAAUUUGCAGUUACUUCAGCUCACAACUCUAAUGAUCUUACACAUGCUUUUCUUCAAAACAACCAUCAUACUCAGUAUGCAACAGAUGUGCCUCAUGCACACUACUCAUUUUGUCACGUAGAAUAUUUAACAAGAUGCAUACUCAAAGGUCAAGUUUUAAUAAAAUUAAUAGUUCUUUUAACUGUUUCAUCAAGGACACUCCUAAGUGAACUGGGUUUUUGUUUAUAAUGAGUGUGGUGAUGAAGAAGACAGUGGCAACUGAUACAGUUCAUUGUUUUGUGCUGCGGCCCCAACAGUUGUGCCCACCAUCACUUUUGCACCCCCAGUGCAAAUGUCAGUACAGUGAAAAAUACUUCUUAGUAUUCAUAUGAAAAUAGUUUUGCCUUUGUGGACCCCCUGAAAGAGUCUUGGCAACCCACAAGGGUCCACAAACCAUGCAGAAUUCCUGGGAUACAGCAAUGUGAAAAACAGACAAAAAAAACAAAACAAACAAACAAAAACCCCUGCCCUCAUCAAGCUUACACUCUUGUGGAGUGAGAGAAACCAAAAACAACAUAGAUUGUUUAAAUAUAUGGUAUUUAAUAUUGUGAUAAGUACAAAAGAAGAAAAAGAAGGUGAAGUGCCUGGACAUUUUGAAUUUUUUAGGUAAUGAUAGGGAAGGUCUCACCGAGUAAAGAACUCAGCAGGCCAGAGAGCAAGCUGUAGAGAUACCUGGGGAGAACAUUCCAGACUGAGGAAAUAGCUAGAUGAAAGUGUACCUCAUAUGUCUGAUGAAUGGCAAGGGAACCAGAGGCUGAAGAAGAGUAGGCAAAAGGGAGAGGAGUGAAUGAAUCAUGAAGUGUGGGGCACAGAUUAUCUAGGAGUUUUGCAGGUGAGUGAUUCUGGAAAAUCUUUGGAUGUGCACAUUGCUUGGUCUUGUGAAAAUGCAGAUUCUGGUUCACAGAUGAGGGUUAGGUCCUAUAUUCUACAUUUCUUUUUUUUUAAUUUUAAAAAAUUUGUUAUAUAUGACAACAGAAUGCAUUACAAUUCAUAUUACAUAUAUGAUGCGCGAUUUUUCAUAUUUCUGGUUGUACACAAAGUAGAGUCACACCAUUUGUGUCUUCAUACGUGUACUUAGUGUAAUGAUGUCCAUCUCAUUCCACCAUCUUUCCUACCCCCGUCCCCUGCCUCUUUCCCUUUACCCUAUCUAGAGUUCAUCUAAUCCUCCCAUGUCCCCCUCCCUAACUACGUUAUGAAUCAGCAUCCUUAAAUCAGAGAAAACAUUCAGCAUUUGGUUUUUUGGGGUUGGCUAACUUCACUUAGCAUUGUUUUCCAACUCCAUCCAUUUACCUGCAAAUGCUAUGAUUUUAUUCUCUUUUAAUGCUGAAUAAUAUUCCAUUGCAUAUAUACACCACAUUUUCUUUAUCCAUUCAUCUACUGAAGGGUAUCUGGGUUUACAGUUUAGCUAUUGUGAAUUUUGCUGCUAUAAACAUUGAUGUGGCUAUGUCCCUGUAGUAUGCUGUUUUUAAGUCCUUUGGAUAUAGACUGAGGAGUGGGAUAGCUGGGUCAAAUGGUGGUUCCAUUCCCAGUUUUCCAAGGAUUCUCCAUACUGCUUUCCAUCUCAGAAGAAGAUAUACAGUUAAUCAACAAAUAUAUGAAAAAAUGUUCAAUGUCUCUAGCAAUUAGAGAAAUGCAAAUCAAAACUACUUAAGAUUUCAUCUUACUCUGGUCAGAAUGGCAGCUAUUAAGAAUACAGUAAGUGUUGUCGAGGAUGUGGGGAAAAGGCACACCCAUACAUUGCUGGUGGGACUGCAAAUUGGUACAUUCUGCAUUUCUAACAGGUUAUCACGUAAUGCCAAUGCUAUGCUUCUCUUUGAAUUGCAUCUUUGUAGGCAAUUGUAAGGGGGUUAGUUUUUAUUUUCAGUUAUUCAGAAACCAUUGGAGAGAACCCAGAGUGACAUUGUGAUGUACGUUUUAACAUGAUCAUAAAUAUUAAUAUCAGUGGUAAGUCUAUAAUCCCUUAUCCAAAUCCCUAGGGACUGGAUGUGUGUUAGAAUUAAGAAUUUCUUCAGACUUUAGUAGUUAAUAUAUUUCAUAUAUGUAUGUAUAGUAUAUUUUAUAAAACCACCAUCAGUAUCUGAGGCAUUGCUCUAAUCACAUAUUAAUAAUAUUUUUGUAAUGAAAUGAAUGAACAGGCACAAUGAAAUAAAGACUAAAUAUUCUAAUAUCUGUUUACAUGAGAACUUUGCUGCCAAUGAGUUAUAGAGUCUAAAAGUAUAAAAAUACUUAAAAAUAUACUUUCAGAUUCAAGUCAGACCAGGGUUUGCUGCCAAAUGAAUUAUAAAAGUGCUUUCAUGGGCUGGGGCUGGGGCUCGGGCUCAGUGGUAGAGCACUUGCCUUGCAUGUAUGAGAUAUUGGGUUCGAUCCUCAGCACCACAUGAAAAUGAAUAAAUAAAGAUACGUGUCUAACUAUGACUAAAAAUAUAUUUUUAAAUAAGUGCUUUCAUUUUUCAAAGCAUUUGUUUUUUAUAGUUCAGAAAACAUGGACUUUUGUUGCUGUUUUACUUCCAGUUAAUUGCUCCUCUUUUUUUUUGUGGCAGUACUGGGAUUGAACCCAGGGCCUCACGCAUGCUAGUCAAGCACUCUACCACUGAGCUACAUCCCAACCCUACAACAACUUCUUUCUUUCUUUCUUUUCAUUUCUUUUUUUUUUUUUUUUUGGUACCAGGGAUUGAACCCAGGGGUGUUUAGCCACUGAGCCCCAUCCCCAGUUUCCUUUUUAUUUUUUGAGACAGGUCUUGCUAAGUUGCUGAGAAUCUCCCCGACAAGAACUUCAUUAAGACAGUCUAAUAUGUGUUCAUUUUAAGCCUUGUUGGACACAAGUGUCAACAAGAGGCACCACACCCCAAGUCCUUGAUGCCUGAUUCUCUUCUCAAAUUUAGAAAAAUAAAUACCUAUCAAUUUAAAAGACAAGUUCUCCUUUCCAAAGAGUUUUUACAUGUUGACAGCCUAUACUGUCAUGUGUGCAGUCCAAGCAUAGUUAAUUAAAACAUGCUGGACAUUUUAUUAUACUUUGGUACUGUCAGCAUGUACUUAGAAUUAUCCAACUCUGCUCAUUUGUGGUUGACAUAAUAUUGCUUCCAUAUCUGACUUUACUUUCUUGCUUACAGCUGUGAGCAACCUUAUUCCACAUUUGGCUCUGUAGCAUAUAAUUUAAAGCAAACUUCUCUGUAUUUUUCAGAAUACACUUGUUUUCUUCCUUAGUGACUGAGUGAUUUUCCCAGAGAGGUUCAGCUGAGCAGAAAUGCAUUUGGAAACUAUCAUAAGAUUGAGGAAUGCUGUGAUCUUUCUCUUAUCUCCGUUACCUGUGAUAUCAAAGUGUUUGUAAUAGGAGCUUUUAUCUCUCCUUUUACCAUAGAUUUUCAUGUAAAGGUAGUAUAUCCUAUUUUCUGAGUACCUGUCCUAUUGAUAAAGCUUGAAGACAAUGAUGUAAGGGAGACUUUGAAAGGUUGCUUUAAGCUUGUUGGCAAAAUGACAUAUUGAGUCUCAUCACUGGGGAGUUGUUAUCUAUGAGUCUGUACUAAAGGAUAAUGCACAGUCUAAUAAGUAUGUUAUAUUGCUUACUCCUAGCUCAUAGAAUAUGGUGAUGGAUUCCUUUUCCAAGGGCGAGGGUCCAGGUGGGCCACUGCUACAAAACUGUAUUGUGUAGUGUGCAGGAAGCAUGGUUUAGGAAUAAUUUGUCCCAAAGGAUAAUAAUAACAACGUUGUGAUUUUCCCUUUAAGAAAAGAACAAGGAAGGUAUAUACUGGGUCUGCUGAAGGAAGUGAGGGCAUUUGCAAUAACUAAGUUAAUAGUCCUUAGCUGACUAGAAAGUCACCAAUAAGAGUAUAGUUUUUAGUCUAUUAUUUUCCAGAAUUUGUAUUUAUAAAAAAUAAAAAUUCUGUGGAGUAUUCAGUGGGUUAUGUUUUAGUGUUGAAAAUUUUAAAUGCUAUGGAUAGUUAAAAUUCUAAGUUGUUUUGUCUGGAAAUGUGUUUAUCAUGUGUGGGUGUAUAUAUAUACAUAUAUGUAUAUAUUAUUUUAAAAUAAAUGACAUCUGGUAUAUUCUUUUAAGGCUAAAUUAUAAGAAUUUCAUAAAAAUUAAUUUAUUGCAUUUUAGUUAUGGACAUGAAAUGCCAAUAAGUAGAGGGUAUACUUUAUUGCCUGUGAUGAGUUUUGUGUUUUUACUCUUAUUUUCUGGGGUGGAGGGCUUCAGGGACUAUGAUCAUUUUGCUAAAGGUAUAAAUUUUUUUUUUUUUUUGUUACCUAACAAAAUCCAAAUGGGAGCCAUUUGGGAAUGCUGAGUUGUUAUUGAGAGACUUGGCAGGAACUAAAUGUCUUAUUGAAGUUCCUUUUUAGAAACCCUUUGAGUGAGUAGGUCUAUCUGAGGACCUUGUAUAAGUAUGCCAGCGUGUUAGCAUAAACAUUAUCAGAAAUCACUAAAUCCUGUAAGGAGAAAACCUCUUUCAAAGGUAUGACUUGUUGUCUAGAAGUAGAAAUAGAGGGUUGGAAAAUGACCCCUGUUACCUUGUAUUUGAGUUAAAUGACCCAAUUACUGUGUGUAGCUCUUUGUUUCCAAAAGUAUACUGAAAAGAUUUGAGUGAGCAGAAGGACUUUGUGUAGUCUGUUUGCUGGGGCUGCCAAGCUGGUGAGAGGAAGCUUUGCUUAGGUCUUUAAUUAAAGGCCAAGCCUGAGUUUUGAGAAGGAGAGCGUUCCAAGUUGGCUUCAGUUGCAUUUAGGAGGUUUUGCUUGCAGGCUGUGGGUCGUUGGUGAGAGGUUGAGCAUUGCAUUUGCAAAAUGUUUGCUUCUGGAGAUCUCUGAUGAAUUUACAUGUGAACACUGUAGUUGGACCUUCUCAGAAGGAGUUUUCCCUCAUGUUUUAAUAGUUGUGGAUCAUUGUUCUCUAAAGCAUUAAAAAUAAUUAUCUUUGGUUUUAAGAAUAGUUUAUUUCCAUUACAGUUGAAUCAUAACACAUCAGUUUUCAAUCUUGUAGCUAUUUUAAAUGACUUUUUUGCUUCUAAGGGUGAAUUUAGCUGACCUGAUUUGGUUGUGACUUUGUAGGGUGAAUUUUAAUUAUCUUAGUUGAAAUGCUUCUUUCCACAUUUUGAAGCAUUUUUUCUAGGAAAAAAGUUUAGUCAGGAUGUGAAUGAAGUACCUAGAAAUGUAGCAUAGCUCAUUUUAUUUGUUUCCUCCUUAGUUUUGAGUUCUGUGUUAUUAUAAUCCUUUAAAUUUUACGGUGAAUAUGUUUCUAAGAAACAUAUUUCUUUUGGAGUAAGCAACUUAGCUGUUUUCUUUGUGCCAUUCAAAUAAUAGCAAUAACACUUAUUUGGAAUUUAUUGCUUAUAUGAAGUCCUUGUUUUUUAAAAAAUAUCACUUAUAAUAAAAGAGUUUUGUGGUCAUAAGCAUGUUAUCAUUUUAGUGUGUCCAAAUUUGGUACAGAAACAGAACAUCAGCAGGUGGGGAUGAAUCAUUAAUGCUUUGCAUUUGUGGAAUAAAGCAGUUCAGGGAAUCUCUUGCCAGGUGGUUGAAAGGUGAGCCUUCAUUUGAAGGUUUAAGAUGCUGUGUUUGUUGUUAGUGAAUAUUCUUUUUACAGAAAUCAAAAUUAUUUUUAAAUCAAAGGUGGAUAUGCUUUAAAAUGUAAGUUUUAGAGUGUUAACCAUUAGUCUAAACUUUGUUUAAAAUGCAUCAGUUCUUUUGAGAAAUUCAUCAUAUUGCUUAAAGUCAUAAAAGCCUUUGAGUCUAAUGCAAUAAAGAGCUUGAAUUUAAAUCUAAUCUGUUCUAGAAUGAACUAUUUAUCUUUUAAAAUAAAAAGUUAAUCAGGCUUAAAGUUCAAGAGUACUUGAACUUUUAGUACUGUUCUAAACCAAAGAAUGCUUAAGAUAUAAAUAUAUAAUGGUAUACAAAACUAUACAUAAUAAAAAGAAUGAAAUAAUUUUUUUUUGUUUUCAAAGAUGAUUCAUUUUAACAUCUAUCAAUGCAUUAGAUGUAGUAGAUAGGAUCUAACUGAAGAAACUGUAACAAUUUAUUCAUUCUGAUAAUGAUUUAUUUCUCCCAAAUUAGGACCGUUAGGGUAUUUAUAAGUAGAUUUAAUUCUAUCAAUAAAUGAAACAUUUGGGUAUCUCCUAAAUGGCCCUAAUAUCAUAAAAUUGUUAUUAAAGAUAAUAUCCUGUCAGGUAUGGUGGUGCAUGCUUAUAAUCCCAGUGACUUGAGGAAGUUGAGGCAAGGGGAUCACCAGUUUGAGCCAGCAUCAAGACCCUGUCUCAAAACAAAAACAAACUGGGGUAUAGUUCAGUGGUCCAGUGAUCAUGGGUUAAAUCUUCAGUAUCAUCAAAAAAGAAAGAAAAAGAAAAAAGAAAAAAAUAUUCUAGUACCUUUCACUAGAAAUUUUACAUUAUUGUUUAAAGCCACAGGUAAAUAACUUGAAAUUUUUAAUAUUUAAAGGAAAAAUAAAUAAUCUGUAAUAUUUAGAGAAGAAAUACAAAAGAUUAAAUGUAACACUAAAUCUUAAAAUCUGUACCUUGCAGUUUUAAAAGGUAAGGAAAAUUAGAAUUAUUUUUCAUAAACAUGAUAGAAUAUGUUUAGAUAAAAUUUCCUUGAUUUGAAAUUCUACCAGUUAACCAAGAGAGAAAGAAUUUAGUUCCCUUUUCCAUAAUUCUUGAAAUUCAGCAGAUUCAGUUACAACAGGGAGCAGAAGACCCACAGAGAUCAUGAAGGCAUGUUCACAGACUUCAUCAAGAAGGUGGUGGCCUGGGGCAAUAGCUCAGUUGACAGAGUGCUUGCCUGGCACAAGGCCCUGCGUUCAAUCCCAAUCCCCACCACACACACAAACACACACACACACACACACAUAAAAUCUGUUGCUUCAUGUUGUGUAAGUAUGCAAUAUGCAAAAGAGCUGUGGGUGAUUAAGAACCUCAGACUAGGAAGGUGAGUUUUUGGUGGUGUGUUCAUUUCAAGAGCCCACAUAAAACAAUUAGAGUCCCUAGUGGAACUUACAAAGAGAUGUGUCCAUCUUCAAAAAAAAAUCUUUAAAAAUUAUGUAGGUGUUUUUCUAAAUCAUUAGUAAAGAAGCCUUUCUCCCCCUGGUUUUGGAAGAGAAUAAUGUCCCAACGCCAUUCCAGAAUUUAUUAACUAAACAUCCGUUGUAUGUGAUAAGUUAACUCUCAUUCUUCUAGAAAGAGGGUUUUCCCCCCUCGACAUGGGAAAAGUCGAGUCAGCCUUAGUUCUGUUACAGAACUCUCUAAUUUUGAAUUUCAGGAAUAGAAGAGUGGGGUGAUAUUUCUUUCUUCCCAGCAGGGUUUGGAAAAAAUUGGGGUCACUGACUUCAACAACUAAUUUUUGCAUUAUGAAGAGGUUGAGGCAGCUUUCCUAAGCCUCUCCAAUUCCCCCUCUCAGUUCCCUACAUGUCCUACCUACCCUUUGCCUCCUAAGGGAGUUGUUCAAGCAGCUGUUCUCAAGAGAAAGAUCCACACCAAGGUAUCUAAGGUCUAAGAAAAACUCACAAUUUGUAAGCAGUCUACUUCAAAUAGCAUUUUAUUUAACUGCCGGGUUUCUGUUCUCGCGACUAAAAGGCUCAGGGGUCACUCUAGUUAAACCGGGCUAACUGGGCUGCACAAAAUAACCACACAAGAGACACAAAUACCUUUUUCUUUGGGGUUGCUGUGAUGGCUCCUCUGACCUUAAGGGUCCCCAGAAAGAGAGAGAGCGAGAGCACACACUGACCCCUUUUAUUGAGGAGAAGCUAUUCAAAUGAGGCAAGGGGUCAGAUUUCAGGGGGCUGAGUCUAUCUUCAUGAUGUCCACUGUCAGCAGGUUGACUGACACCUGGGUGGGACACACACAAGGCACUUCCAUGGAAGAUUCUAUCCUAAACAGGGCAAGGGGUUAUAUUACAAAGGAACAGGUGAGCAUAGCUUCACCCAUGGGGCUGUAGCAAGACACACCCAUGCACUAGACACCGACCCUCAAACCCAAGAAAGGUGGGGAAAGCUCUGCCACAUUUCUGUGACUGAGCGCCUCAGCACCCAGCUGGGGAGUGUGACUCAGUCACAUUUAAGGUUGGUCUCCCACAUUUAACCCUCCCUUAGAUAUAGACUCUAAAGGCUUAUGUUAUAUAUCACCAGGUGCUUCCUAGAGACUUAUAUUCCACCUUCUCCCCCCACCCUAGCAAAAAAGAUCGCUAGGAAAAGACUUUGAUUUUUGUUUUUAUUUUUUGUGGUGCUGGGGAUGAAACCCACUACCACUUAGCUGUCACACCUCUAGUGGAAAAGACUAUGAGAAUCCAAAUGAGCUCUUAAGUGUCACUAGUAAUUGGAAUGUUUUAAUAUUAAAAGAACUCAUUAAACUUUUCUCCCAAUAUAAUUUGGCCACAUGAUUGUGAUCUGUAGCAUCUUGGAAAAUGUCUUCUGUAAUGACAUAAGUGUACAAGGAAGAACAAAAUAGUAAAGAAUUCAUGACUAAGGUGGUUCACGGUGGCUUGCGGCUGGUGUGGUAAUAACUGUGUUCUUAAAUUCACUGUUGGUGGUGGCAAGAGAAGCUAUGUAUUUAUUAAAGGUGUCUAGGCGCAAGGUACUUUUAUACUGUAUGUAAUACCUAACUUAAUCCUUAUAGUGUAGUGGCACACCCUCCUCCACAAAAAAAUCUUAAUUAAGCUUCUCCAGAAAUCUUUACCAUAAUUGAUCUUAGGACUCUCAGCACAAGAAUCUCUACAAAACAGUUCUUAUUUCCUGUUGUUCUAUCUUACUUGGCCUGGAAGAGAUCAGCCCUCCAUGUGCUGAAUGCUCUUUUACUAGUUUUCCACAAACAUUUAUGGACUAUUUAAUAUAAAUAACAACAUAUAUGAUAGUUUGUAAAAGUGUGCUUGCAAAUGCAGAGUGUGAUAAGAAAAACAGAUUCUUUUAACUAGGCCCCUGUCCUUGGGAUGGAGCUUCACAGAGAUGUUUACCUUUAAAAGAUAAUUGGGCUCCAAGGUAACAGCUGGCAGGGGGAGGGAAGAAAGAGGAGAAGAAGCUCUCCCCUUCUCAGGCACUGUCCUUGAAAGUUUAACUUGCCUAGAACAGUGAAAGAAAAAGCUUCUUUUGUGCGAAUUUCUGCAGACUGUGAACUUCUGAGCCCCUCACCUUACAUGCUGGGUAUAAAGUUCUGAAACUGCCUGAACUCAGGGUUCAGGGGAUUGAUUACAGAGAUAGCAAACCUGUGUUGUUGCUAUUCCCAUUUUUAAAUAUUUUUAUCCCACUUUCUACGUUAAGAAAUAAAGAUUCAGAGAGGUAGUAAAAUUUUCAAAGUCAUAUAGCAAGAAAAUGUUGGUGUUCUACAAAAGCCCUGUCUUACACAAAGUACACAGUUUCUGAAUCAGGACUUUGAGAAGUAGUGUGUGUCUGUGUGUGUGUGUGUGUCUUUGUCUCUGUCUCUCUCUGUCUCUAAGUGAAAGGGAUCUCCAGGAGGCCCUUACUGCUCACAGGUUCAGGAUUUGCACAGGGUCUACAUAGUGUUAGGGCCAACUACGAAGUUAGAGGGUUCUGUGUCACCAAGAUGUCCCUCACUUCUUACACCAACUGCAAGAUGUUGCAUUCAGGUUCUCUGAUUUUCUAGACUCAACAGAACUCUCUAAACACUCGGAUACUGGCAGUCAUGAUUUUUUUCAGGGAAAGGGUGCAGUCAGUUUGGCCAAGAAGCGAAGCAUAUAGGGCAGAGUCCAGGAGAAAAACAAAAGUAGAGCCUUGGCUGUCCAUCCAGUCAGGAUGCAUAUCUUUCAUGUAUGUCUGUGUGACAGUACAAAUGGAGUACUUCAACCAGAGGAUGUCUCCCAAGCUAGUGCUCAGAGGUUUUAUUGAGACUUUAUUACAUAUACCUAGUCGAUGGGUUGCCCUUCCAUUUGUUCAAAUGAUACUACCCCAAAACCCUACCCUAAAUUACUAUUCUAUGGCUAGACCCAGGCAAAUAGAUUAUCUGCUGGGAGUCAAGGGCAAAGGUCAGAUCUUUUCUGUGGCAAGGCUAAAUUCUUUACUAUACAAGGUUCCCAGUCUGGUGAAGUGCCAGCUUCCUUCAUGGGGUAUCAUCCAUAUGGUGGAUCACUUCCGUUUAUAUUUCAGAGCCUGACAGGGAGGUUGGGAUAGACAUGAAUUAUGAAUGAGCAUCAAGAGAGUGAAUUUAUAUUCUCCUGUUAUAAACCCUGGACCAACCACACAUCCUUCUCCUUAGAAUUGGAUGACAGUAUAGUAGCAAUUGUUUACCAUCAGUGAAAUUGUAAAAAUUACAGGAAUGCUUACCAACAAAAUUUUUCUAGUUUUGAAAAAAUACAAAUUAAUUACUUAUGAUUUUCUUAUUUGGACAAAGUUCAAUAUAAUUAGUCCCUUCCACAUAUAUGCACACAAACACACCCUAGCAGAGGAAAUAUAUGUGUGCUUGUCACUGCAUUAAGGUCAUGUUUCAUUCUGACUUUUUUUUUUUUGUACUAGAGAUUGAACCCAAGGGCACUUAACCAUUUAGCAACAUCACCAACCCCCUUUUUAUUUUUUAUUUUAAGACAGGCUCUUACUAGGUUGCUUACAAUUUCCCUGAUUUUCUGAGGCUAGCUUCAAAUCUGUGAUCCUCCUGCCUUAGCCUCCAGAGCCACUAGGAUUACAGGCAUGCACCACCAUGCCCAGCUUCAUUCUGAUAUUCUUUUUUUGGGGGGAGUGGGUGUAAUGGAGAUUGAACUCAGGGGCAAUCGACCACUGAGUCACAUCCCAGCCCUAUUUUGUAUUUUACUUAGAGACAGGGUCUCACUUAAUUGCUUAGUGCCUCGCUUUUGCUGAGGCUGGCUUUGAACAUGCGAUUGUCCUUGCCUCAGCUUCAGAAGCUGCUGGAAUUACAGGCGUGUGCUGCUGCACCUGACUUCCAUUUCGACUUUUUAUCAUCACUGGGCAAGUUCACUUGAAGUAGCAUUUUCCCUAAAUGAUGGCUUAGUAUCUACAGUCAAUCUUCAUUAUUCAUAAGUUAGGUAUUUGUAAAUUUGCCUACUCACUAGCGUUCACUUGUAACCCUCGAACAAAUACUUAUGGCAUUCUUGUGGUCAUCUACAAAUAUUCACAGAGCUGUAAAAAAUUUGAGUGUUUGACUUGCCUGUUCCGAGCUAGGAUCAGACAAAGUCCAUUUCCUUUUUUCAGUUUUCAUAGUGCAAAGUAUCCUUUUUGUGGUCUGCUUAGUGCCAUGAGGUUUGCAUUUUUGUGGGUUUUUUUUUUUUUUUUUUGGUGGUGGUGGUUGUGGUGAUUCUGCUAUUUAAAAUGACCUCCAAGCAUAGUGCUGUGAAGCUGCCUUGUGUUCUUAAGGGCAAAAAGGCUGUAGUACUUCUCAUGGAGAAAAGCUUCUUACAGGCAUGAGUUACAGUGGCUGUUGGCUGUGAGGUCAAUGUUAAUGAAUCAACAGCAUACACUAAACAAGUUGUCUUUAGAGAAACACACAUAAAGCAAUGCUGUUAUUGAUUGGUUAAUGAAAAUGCUGUGACCAGAGGCACACAGGAACCUAACUCUGUGUUUCCCUUAAGAGCAGUGGUUCAGUGUUUGCUACUAAAUUUAAUGUUAGAGGUGAUUUAUAGAAAAUAACUACUACAAUAAGUGAAAAUAAACUGUAUUUGCUGCCAUUACUUCAUUGUCCAUUUAUUCAUGUAAUUUUUUAUUUCUUCUUUAAGCAAACAUAUUUGAACAUUUCUGGGCUCCACGUGACAGAAUUUUCUCUUUAUGUACUUAAAUGCCCCCUACUUAUAGUCUUGCUGUGUCCCUGUGACUCAGAGUGUUUGUGUGGUUUAUGAUAACACAUCAUAAAUGAAGUGUGAGGUUACAUUUUAAAGCUUGGGAAUUGAAGGCUGAAUGUUUUGGUUCCAUGGCCAUUUUGAGCUUCCUGUUCAACUUUCUCAAUAAACUUUCUAGAAUUUUUCUUGCCUCCUUGGGCAAGAUUUGUAGGACAAGAUUUGCCAGUGGUUUUGUGUUAGAUGCCAGCAGAGCCAGGGGUUAUGACUGGCCUUACCUUUCCACACCAAAACAUGAUACGUCUUCCAAUUUAGUCACAUAGUCUCGCAGGUGGGGCUUCUGGCUGGCAGAAUGAUUCCUCAGCUAGGCGUUGCUGAUGAGAAGUCAGACCACACUGGCUUGUUCCCUUUGUCUAAUUAAUCCAUCUCCCUCAUGUGUUUGUCUUCCUUCUCUUCCCACUGCCUCUUCCCACUGUCUCUUAAAUCUGCACUCAACCAGAACAAGGGAAAUGGACUUGAAGAGCAGAUGUUCAUCUCCUAUUUGUGGUUCCCUGGAGAGAGACUCUUCCAUGGAGGUGUUUCUCAUUUUCUGGCUUUGAUUGUCCAGGAUGUGUUGGAACUAGGAUCUGUGAUACUGCUAUUCUUCUCUCUUCAUGUUACCAAGACCUGUUACACAGGAAUCCCCCAAGUGGAACAGGGGUGGGGGAAUAGAGAAAUACUCAACACUUCUGGAGAUUAAAAUUAUUUGGUCAGUUUGACUGAAAAAGAAAAAUUCUAAUGAUUUCAGAGCUCUUUCAGUGAAAUAAUCAUUAAGCCCAAAUAAAUAAUAACUAUUGAGUAUUAUAUCAUGGCUCUAAGAAAUGAGUACCAGGAGUAAAAAUCAAUGGGUACAGUAAAUUUCUUUGAACAUUUUUGUAAAACUGUAGUCUAAGAAAGGAAGGACCAAGGCUAAAAAAACCUUUGAAUGUUCUUUAGUGUUUAAUGCAAUGCCUAGGACAAAUAGAAGUCAGCUAAUAUAUAUUAAAUGAAUUAGAGAUUAAAACAUCUUUUUAAAAUAUAAAUAUUCAGUAGUAUUAAUUUUGUAUUUAUUCUUUCAGAUACAGAUGAAUAUAGACCUCCUGUUUGGAAAUCUUACUGUAA
rnacentral:lncRNA from 1 species